rnacentral:tRNA from 1 species
GACCGCGUAGCUCAGUUGGCAGAGCAUUGGGCUAGUAUUCCAAAGGUCGUAGGUUCGAUUCCCACCGUUGUCA